UAGGUGUCCUAUUUAUAGGCUUAUGGGACAUGAAGAGUUAAUAAAAGUUAAAUAGAGAUGACACAAUAGAGUUUCUGUUUUUAGAAGCAAGCUGCAGCUGCCAUGGGAAGAAUGAAUUACUAGGAGAGCAGCAUAGAGGCAGGGAGACCAAGUCAGAGAAAGGAAGCUGACCUGAGCUAAGGGCAAUGGCCUGGCCACGAAGACACUGCUUGCGACUCAAGAUAUAUUUUGGAAAAAGAGCAACAGAAGUCACCUGUGUUGCUGGGGUAAAGAGAAGACAGUAUAAAAUUUGAAGCAAAUAUGAAAAGUGAAGACUGAGGGAAGCAGGUAUACAAAGGCAGAGUGGACAGUGAGAAAGAGAGAGAGAGAGAAAGGUCUUCCUUUUCCGUUGGUUCACCCCCCGGCCAGCGCAUCACACUGAUCCAAAUCCAGGAACCAGGUGCUUUUGGUCUCCCAUGGGGAUGCAGGGCCCAAGGACCAGGGCCAUCCUGCAUUGCACUCCUGGGCCACAGUAGAGAGCUGCACAGGAAGAGGAGCGACCAGGACAUAAUCUGGCACCCCGACCGGGACAGAAUCUGGCACCCCAACCGGGACUAGAACCCCGUGUGCUGGCGCUGCAGGUGGAGGAUUAGCCUAGUGAGCCGCAGCGCCGGCCUGAUAAUGCAUUCAUAAUGUGGUGGUACUAUCAACACGAUCCACCUCAAGAAGUCUUCAUUAUGUGCAAGUGAGACUCUGUACCCAUUAAACAGUAACUUCCAUUCUCCCUUUCUCCCCAGCCCAUGGCAAACUCUAUUUUUACUUCCUCUAUGAUUUUGACUACUCUAAGUACUUCGUAUAAGCUGAAUCAUGCAGUAUGAGAGUAGUUCAAAAUGUUUGUGGAAAAACAUAUAAAAAUUGGGUUUUUGGUGUAAAAAAAUUGAAAUCCAGGCAUAGUUUUGUGUUUUUUUUUUCAGAAUGCUAAUUUGUCAUGAGAUUUUUGAAGACCCCUCACAUUUGCCUUGUUGUUGACUGGCUUAUUUCACUUAGGAAAAUGCCCUCAGGGUUCAUCUGUGCUGUAGCAUAUAUCAGAAUUUCCUUCUGUUGAAGGCUGACUGUGGUACGUGUGCGCUGCACUUUGCUUAUUGAGGCAUCUCUCGAUGGACACUUAGGUUGUAGCCACAUUUCAGUGUCGUGAAUAAUGCUGCUGUGGACAUGGGAGUGCAAAGCUUUCUUCAAGAUUUUUUCAGUUAUUUUGGGUAUGCACCCAGAAGGGGAAUUCCUGGAUCAUACAGUCAUAUCCCAAAAGUCAUUGCCAAAUCCAGCAUCAUAGAGCCUUUGCUCUGUGUUUUCUUCUGAGGUCUGCAGUGUUAGCUGUUACAUUGAAGUCUUGAUCCAUUUCUAGUUAACUUUUGUGAUAUCACUUCAUCUACAAAUUCUUCAGUAUACAUCUCUAUGAGCAGGUCUGGCUUCACUGUCUCAGAGCACAACCUCUAAGCCACCUGUCUGGCUGACAGGUUCUGAAAUGGAAUCCACAAGGUGGAAAUCAUCCAAGGAAUCCCGGGAGUGAGCUUUCCUCUGCACUGGUAUACAAGGUUGCUCUCUGCUUAGGGAAGCUCUCUGAAGUUAUUGUUACCAUGUGAAUCAAGUUUCACUCCUUGGCAGCCCUUUUAGGAGUGGAAAAAACUGGGACUUGCUCAGACCUGUUGAGUCACAUGCGAGGUGAUCUCAUCCAGCAACACAGUGAAGGACGCAGGGGUAAGCCAGGCUGCGAAUCCAUCUGUGGGGGAAUUUGACAGAGGUGUGAUGACCUUAUGUACCCAAUGUCUUUGAGAAAAAGAUCUUGUUACCUGCCAUCGCAGGUGUCUGCUCCUGGAAAAUAGCUGCCCACUCAACACAGUUGUUCUGAUUGCUUUUAUUUACCAUGAGAUAGGUCCUUGACACAGGAUCAAAUGAGACAUAUGUGUGUAGAGGAAUGCAUGUUAACUUGAGCACCAUGUUCCCACCACCAAGUCUAAAUAAUACUCAGCCUCCUGGAAGACCCUGGGCCUCCCUCCUCACAUCCACUUCUCUUCCCCAAGGUGGCCACUGUGGCCAACUUGUGGAAAUCAUCUCUGUGCUUUGCUCUUUGGUGUCACUGCUAGGUGUGCCCUGCUAAACAAGCACCUGUUUGUGACCUACAUAUAAAUGGAAUUAUAGUGUACAUAUUCUCCAUGAUUUGCUUCUUCCUCACAACCAUUCUUAGACACUUGGGUGCCCAGCGACCUUCUCAGGCUGUGAAUCUAUGAGUCUGCUCUGGCCUUGAAGUCACAUUGGCUAGCCUUGGUCUCCUAGCCCAGCCACAUACCAACUUUGUGACUGCUCUUUCCCUCCUUUGUAAAAUUGGGACAGUGUGCCUCUGGACACAAGCACCUCCCAGGGGAGACAUGUGUCUCAUUUGUCAUUUUGUCCUUAGCAAUGCAAGUGCCCUGUGUUUGAUGGAUCUUGAGUGAAUAAAGGAGUUGUGUAAGACAGUACAAGUAAGGGCCCUACACCAUACCAGAUUCAUGGCAGGUGUUCAAUACGUGGGAGCUAAUAUGGUGAUUGUCCCUGGCAUUGUUUAUUUGAAUAUGUACCUGCCUAUGGUAGGCAGCCUCUAAACUGGCUGCCAGUAGCCCUGCCCCUGUUCCCUUGUAUUUCUAUGUCCCUUGAGCAUAAAUUGGACUUACUGGCAUACUUCUAACAAAUAGAAUGCAGCAGAAGAGAGAGAAUGUCUUAGUCUGUUUCAUGUGGCUAUAAAAGUAUACUUGAGACUGAAGAAAUUAUUUUCCAGAGUUUUGGUGGCUAAGAAGGCCAUGAUCAAGACAUAGGCAUGUGGCUAAACUGAUCUUCUGUAUAUAAAGAGAAACGAAAAUGAAUCUUGAUGUGAAUGGAAGGGGAGAGGGAGUGGGAAAGGGGAGGGUUGCGGGUGGGAGGGACGUUAUGGGGGGAAGCCAUUGUAAUCCAUAAGCUGUACUUUGGAAAUUUAUAUUCAUUAAAUAAAAGUUAAAAAAAAAAGACAUAGGCAUGUGAUGAGGGCUUUUAGGUUGAGCCCUCACACAGCAGAAGACAGAAGGGCAAGAGGGGGAUGAAUGUUGUGUGCCCACAUAGUAGAAGAGCAGGAAAGAGAGAACCUCUCCACAAGCUCUUUUUCUAGUGGCAAGAAUCCACCCCUGAAGGCCAAGUGAACUCUCAAGACCUAAAUGCCUCUCAGCUCACUGCAUGGGGGAUCAAGUCUUCAACACAUAAAUCUGGGGGACACUUUCAGACAACAGCAUAGGAUGUGAUUUCCAAGAUUGCGUAAAAAGACUGUAGCACCCAUCUGGGGUCCUCUUGCUAUUUUUUGGAUUGCUCCCCUUGGAGGAAGCCAGCUGCCUGGAGAGGCCCAUGAGAUGAAGGGCUAAGGCCUGCCAACACGCACAUAAGGGAGUCUGGAAGUCGAUUCUCCACCUUGUUGAGCCUCCUAAUGCAGUCACAGCUGACAGCUUGACUGUGACCUCAUGGGAGACCUGCAGCUGGUGUCACUCAGCCCAGCCAUGCCAAGGUUCCUGACCACAGAAACUGUGAGAUGACUAAUAUUGGUGUUGUUUUCAAUUUUAUUUGAAAGACAGGGUGAUGGAGACAGAGGCUUUUCCAUCAGCUGGUUUACUUCUCAAAUGGCUGCAAUAGCCAGUGCUGGCCCAGACUGAAGCCCAGAGACCAGAACUCCAUCCAGGUCUCCCACAUGGGAGGUAGAGCUCCAAAUGCUUGACCCCAGAUUCACCUCCCAGAUAGUCACACCAGCAAGAAGCUGGGUCAGAAAUGAAGCCAAGACUCAAACCCAGGCACUCCAACAUGGGACACAGCAUUGCAAGUGACACCCUAACCACUGCACCAAAUGCCUGCGUCUGCUUUGAGCUGCUACAUUUUGGGGCAAUUUGUAAAACAGCCAUAGAUAACCAAGUAGCUGCCUCCCCUUGGGUGAAGAGUGCUGGCAGUCUUUAGAGAAUGUGUCAGACACGGAGAUGCAUUGUUCAGAUCCCCACUUAAGGAUGGACUCACUGCCCAACUGCAAGGAGCUCAGCUAAGUGACAGCCUCCAGGGUCCACAUCAGCUUUCAAGUUGAGCUAAUGCUCUUCUUGGGGCACUCUCCCUAGCCAGUGCUGAGCAAGGUAGUAGUGUGAGGGCCUGACCAUCUCUGCCCACGCUGGACUCCAUCUGUGUGUAGUCUUUGCUUCAGAGCUCUGUGGUAGGCUGGCAGACUUGGUCAGGUCUGCCUUGGGGUUUUCUUCUGUGAGUGUUGCUCCCUAAUAAGUCUUUCUCAUUUCAAGCCCCAUCCUGGCCUCUGCUUCCUAGAGAACCCAUUCUGCAAGUGAAGACCACAUCAUCUGCUUUCAGGGCCGAUGUUGUGGUCCAGCAGUUGAGGGACGGCUUGCAACACCAUGAUCUAAUAUGAGUGUCAGUUCCAGUCCUGGCUGCUCUGCUUCCAAUACAGCUCCUUGCUAACACACCUAAGAAGGCAGCAGAAGAUGGCCCAAGCACUUGGGCCUCUGCCACCCACAUGGGAGACCUGAAUGGAAUUCCUGGCUCCUGAUUUCAGCCUGGCCCAGCCCUGAUUGUACCUGAUGGUAGCAGCCAUUCAGGGAGUAAAUCAGCAGGUGAAAGAUAUUCUCUCUCUCUCUCUCUGUCACUCUACCUUUCAAAUAAAUAAAUCUUUAAAAACAGAAGAAGGGGCCAGUGGAGUGGCAUAGCCAGUGAACCUGCUGCCUGCAGUGCUGGCAUCCCAUAAGGACCCUGGUUUGAGUCCUGGCUGCUCUACUUCCAAUCCAGCUUUUUGCUAUGGCCUAGGAAAACAGUAGGAGAUGGCCCAAGUCCUUGGGCCCCUGCACCCACGUGAGAGACCCAGAAGAAGCUCCUGGCUUCUGGAUUUGUGUUAUUAUUAUUAUUAUUUGACAGGUAGAGUUAUAGCUAGUGAGAGAGAGAGAGACUAGAAAAAGAUAUUCCUUCCAUUGGUUCACUCCCCAAAUGGCCGCAAUGGCCAGCACUGCAUUGAUCUGAAGCCAGGAGUCAGGUGCUUCUUCCUGGUCUCCCACGCAGGUGCAGGGGCCCAAGCACCUAGGUCAUCCUCCACUGCCCUCCCAGGCCAUAGCAGAGAGCUGGACUAGAAGAGGAGCAACCAGGACUAGAACCUGGCACCCAUAUGGGGUGCUGGCACCACAGGUGGGAGAUUAACCAAGUGAGCCACGGCGCCAGCCCCAUGGCUCCUGGCUUUGGAUCAGCACAGCUCUCGCUGUUGCAGCCAUCUGGUGAGUAAACCAGUGCAUGGAAGACCUCUCUCUCUGUCUCUGCCUCUGCCUCUCUUUAACUCUGCCUUUCAAAUAAAUCAAUAAAUCUUUAAAAAGAGGAAGAAGAAGAAAAGGAGGAGGAAGAAGAAGAAGAGGAAGAGGAAAAAGAAGAAGAGGAGGAAAAAGAAGAACAAGAGGAUGAGGAAGAAGGAGAAGAGAAAGAGAAAGAGAAGGAGAAGAAGAAGAAGAAGAAGAAGUAGAAGAAGAAGAAGAAGAAGAAGAAGAAGAAGAAGAAGAAGAAGAAGAAGAAGAAGAAGAAGAAGAAGAAACCCAAGCUUUCUAGUUAGCCCAGAUCUGAAUCCAAGUACACACUCCACGUGGCUGGUCCUAUGACCCUGAGCAAGUUACUUAACUCUUCUGAGCCUUACUUUCCUCCCAUGUAAAAUAGAUAGCAAAUGAUGUUGGAACUGAAGUGAGAUAUUUAUCAAAUGCAUAACAGAAAGCCCAGCACACAGUAAGUUCUAAAGGACAAUCAUUAAGUAUCCAGGGCAACACAGCAAUUAACCCCUUGUCAUGUCCCAAUUUUUAUUGGAAAUUUGCUCAAUACAUUGUCUAUUAUGUUGAUUAUCGGUCUUUGACACUCAGGUGGAUUCUCCGUUACCUCUGUGAAACUUCAAGCCUCCAAACACCACCAUAGCUCAUGUUGUUACCCAUAAAAUGAAUAAAGUACAACUCAGGAUUUCACGUGACUCCUUUAGGUCCUUGACAGCUCUAUACAUAAGGACCAAAACCUUUAUAAAGCUGUUAAAAUUAGGGUGGCUGGCAUCACGCUAAAGCAGCUUGGUGAACUGUUUCUUUUGUGUGCCUUGGACUUGAUCACUUGAGAAGACUGAGCUACCUUUUUAAUAAACACAGAUGUGGGGAACUGAACAGAUCCAAACCUGCUCCUCUCAUGGUCUGCCUCUCCUUGGUGGAUAAUUUCAAGCCCCAGAAAAUGGAGAGCCACCUAUGGUAGGUUGCUCUCGCUUUCAUCCCCAACCAUCUCCAGUCCAGCUCAGCAUCUGACCUGUUCUCCCUUCAAACACCUUGAAUCCUUCACCUCUUUUCAUCCCCAGUACCUCCCCAGGCUCUCUUCCUUUAAGAGUUUCCCAACUGACCCUCCUUCUGGUCCCUACAGACCAGCUAGAGAGAUCUUUUUAAAAUGCUAAUGGGGGCCCACACUGUGGGUAAAACUGCCACCUGUAGUGCCGGAAUCCCAUAUGGGUGCCCCUUCGAUUCCUGGCUGCUCCACUUCCAAUCCAGCUCUCUGCUAUGGCCUGGGAAAGCAGAAGAUGGCCCAAGUUCUUGGGCCUCUGCACCCAAGUGGGAGACCUGGAAGAAGCUUCUGACUCCUGGCUUUGGAUUGUUGAGGCCAACUGGGGAGUGAACCAAUGGAUGGAAGAUCCCCCA